rnacentral:rRNA from 1 species
ACGCUCGACACCUACGGGAGGCAGCAGUGGGGAAUAUUGCACAAUGGGGGAAACCCUGAUGCAGCGACGCCGCGUGGAGGAAGAAGGUCUUCGGAUUGUAAACUCCUGUUGUUGGGGAAAAANGGAUGGUACCCAAACAAGGAAGUGACGGCUAACUACGUACCAGCAGCCGCGGUAAUCUGAGCGGGCUGGCAAGGC